CACACACACACACACACACACACACACACACACACACACACACACUCACACACACUUAUACACUCACGCAAUCUCUUUCCCUCCCGGACAGACUUAUGAUUAUAUUCACACACACACACAUUUACACACAUUCAGAGACACUCCCCAUAGGUAUACAUAGACAUACCUGGGGCUCACAUAUCCAAGGGAACAGACCCAGACACAGCCAACAAUAGGGGCUCUGGCCACAGGACCAGCCAGAGCCCACACAAGCUUCCACCGGCAGACACAGGGCACCCUGGCACAUACUGCUCCACCUGGCUGGAGCCUUAGGCGUUCUCAGGCCCAAGACAGGAUUCAGCAGGCCUCUGAGGACGACUCUGACUAUGAUGAUGUUCCAGAGGAGGGGCCAGGGGCCCCAGCCAGCGUG
rnacentral:lncRNA from 1 species